rnacentral:lncRNA from 1 species
CCUAGCUCAACAAUCUGAGAUAUUCCAUGGCCUUGAAAAAUAGAAACAAAAAAUCACUUGUUUACUAUGUGCCAGGCACUGUUUUAAUCAUUUUACAUGUAUUAAUUUAUAAUUUAUGGCUACCCUAUAAUAUAGAUAUGUAGUUUUUUUAUUAAAUUUUAUAGACUGGAGAGCUGAUGCACUGAGUGAAGCAUAGUAAAUGAGAGUCAAGGGUGAGAUCCCAGCAGUUUGGCUCCAGAGCCUACAUUCUUUAUAUUCUGUACAUCUUCUAUAUUUCUAUAAUCAUGGUAUGGAAGGGAUGAUGGAUUAAAAGUUGGUAAGUAAAUCUGUAUUUAUUUCUGAUCUUAGCAUUAAAUUAUUGUGUGAUAUGGGGCAAAUCACGUCACCCCCUCUGACCACAAUUUCUAUAUUCUCAACCUGAAAAGAUCUUGAGCCAUUUCUUCUGAUUCUCAGGGAUUAAAAUCUGUGGAACAUGCUUACUGCUCUCUUCAUUAAGCUAUAGUCUGGGAUUUGGAAGUUUCCCUAGCUGAAGACACUUUGCCACUAACACAUCAUUCUGGAAAAAUAUUUUGAUGUCAGAAAAGACUGUCAUUUUGGGCCAACUUAGAAAGGAACGCGGUAUUGGGAACGCUCAAGACUUUGUGAAAAGCAGUUAGCAGUUCAGUUUUCUUCUGGUGGAGAAUGCAUACACAAUGAAAAAGCAAGGCCAGCAUAAUUGUGUCUUAUUUGAUUCUGUCAUUCAAAAUCAGAGAGUUUGAUUUAGGACAUGCUGUUCUUGGGAGUUUGUACAAUUGCCCCUAUUCUGAGCACAAACCCUGCAUGAUACCUCUUAAAAAAAAACUAAUAUUUGUGCUACAUUUGAGCUUUCUCAGGCUUCUGCUUAAAUAUUAGGAGUAAUUUAAACAUCUGAUUUAAAAUAU